rnacentral:ncRNA from 1 species
AGUAUGGGUAGAGGCCGAGAAGCCCGUCCCGUUUAAGAACGUGGCACCCUAUGAGGGACGAGGCAGAGCCAGUGGUGCGACCGGCUACCGACGCG